AUGGAGUACCUGAAGGAGCAGUAUAUGCUUAAACACGCCACUCUGAUGGUGUUUCACAGUCACUCUAAUGUUUACGUGUCUCCGCUCUCUUUUCUGCAUGCGAAGGUGACUCCCACCAAAACAAGCAAAGAAGCCAAAGCCACUCCAGAUGCUUCAAAAGAGCAGUCACAGAAAGAGACCCCACCAGCACCAUCAACAAAUGUACAGGAAGCACCCAAGGCACCUCCUCCUCCUCCCCCAGCACCACCGAAGAUGGAAAGCAAAGCAGAGCCGGCGGUGAAGAAAGAGGAAACAUCUGCAACAAAAGCAGCAACAGCAGCUGCAACAAAAGCAGAGGGAUCUGCCAAGAGCAAAACUAAAGACAGUGCAUUAAGCAAACUCUUCCGUUCAAAGCCUGUUGUGGUGGAAGAGAAAAAGCCGGUUGAGGUGCAGGUCGACGCGUCUAAGACCAGCACUCUUGAGGCCACAGCCAAACCUGAAGAACCUCCAGCGCCAAAAACAGAGGAGAAGAAAACUGAGAAGAAAUCCACUUUUGGAAAAAUGUUCAAACCCAAGGUUCUGCUCGGCCAGGUGAGCAGCAGGAUCCAGGCCGCGGCGUCCAGCGCUGCCGCCAGCAUCUCCCUCAUGUCUGCUGCAGCGGCACCAGAGUCCAAGAAGGAGACUCCAGCUGCUCCUCCCGUGGCAGAAGCUGCUCCACCCGCGAAGGCCAAAGAGGAGCCGAGACCCUCCACUCCUGUAACGCAAGGGGCCCUGGACAACAAAUCAGCCGACAGCACAGAGAACGCCUCCCCCAACAUGCCCCGCAAGCUGGAGAAGAGGAACUCCCUCCAGCUGUUCUUCAAAAACCUGGGCCAAAAACGCCAUUCUGAUGCCGGAGUGCAAACGGACCCUGUGGCACCCGAGAAGGCCAAAUAAAACCCUGCCUUUGUUUUGAUCGCUCAUCUGUGCCAAAACCAUUGGCAGCCAUGCACAUAAGAACAUAUUUACCAAAGUUGGGAGGUAUUAUGCUGAUUUGCAAGGCCAAAGUUUGAAGUAACUAUGAAAUUAUAAUCUGAAUCUCCAUGCAUUUAGUGAGAGCAGAAGUAAGUGUAACGAUCUCCCUGUUAAGCAAGUGCUACGUGUGUUUAUGACCAGAGGGAGGAACUUGUGUUGUUUUUCACAGAGAAACGUGUCAGAGUUGUUUGGUGUGGCAUGAGAUGGAAAAGUGAAAGUGAAAAUGUUAUCCUGCAUUGAAGAUAAACUCCCUUUUUUAUGUGCAUGUUACAAUGUUAACUAUACUAACACUACUCAUAUUGCAUCACGCAUUAAAUCCGCUGCAUUAAGAUGCCUUUUCCCCGGGAUAAAGCAAACAUCAUGUGCGUUUGCAUGUGAAAAGAAUCUAUUUAUGUAAUCAUACACUAUCUGAUUGUGAAAACAUUGACCCGUCGUCUGCUGAUUUCAAUCACUGAAACCUAUAAAGCCAAUUUGAAUUCCACUUGAAUUCCAUGCAAAACUUCUGCAUCACUUUAAUAAAUCCAUAGAAAUCACAAGUAUUUAUUUAACAUAAUGUCAAUCAAAUAGAGCACCAUAUAUUAUUAUUCCAAUUUAUUUGGUUAUUUAAGUUAAGCCCAGUUUCUAUAUAGAAUAAUAAUAAUAAUAAUAAUAAUUGUUUUCAUUUCUAAGAUUGUUUAUUAAACAUAACUUACUAACUAAACCACAUUACAAUUAUUGUCUUUUUAUUUGCUUGGCCGUCCAGUUCUGACCAGAGUAGACUAAAAAGAAAUUAAGCUAGUAAAAUAUUUUCUUUUCUUUCUUAUUUUCUGAAAAUUUUAGUUUUUAUUAGAACAGUAUGAAAUAAAUAUGCGUUAUACAGUUAUGCAAUAUAUAAUGUACAUUCAACUCAGCUGUAAUCACAUGUGUUUUAUGAUUUUCUUCCUAAUUAUCACUACAUUUGUAAAGAAUAGAUGGGCCUAAUUCAGAAUUUAGACAAUAUCCAUGAAUCGUAGACUUUCUGUAUCUCUUUUGUUGCAUUUUUGUCUAUUUAACCAAUUUAUAAAAAUAAAAUAAUUAUUUCUCUCCUCUGUAAAAUGACUCGUUCUGUAUUUACAACAUGAAGACAUUUAAAAUAUAUAGUUUUACGUUUUCCUGGGGGGGGGGGGGGUUUGCUGGUAUAGGUUUCCACAUGGCUAUAUACUGUAUGUAUAUAUAUAUAUAUAUAUAUAUAUAUAUAUAUAAAGAGGGCAUGUGUCAGGACCGCCUACAGGGCAGCAGGGGUGAACUGGCCAUCAGUGUGAUCUGGAGAAUCACAGAAAGGCCGGCCCACCACCCACCAAGCACGCAGUCAUCACCUCAUUCAGACUAUAAGUUGCACAUAAGUAUAAGUCGCAUCAGUCCAAAAAUACGUCAUGACGAGGAAAAAAACAUAUAAAUCGCACUGGAUUGUAAGUCGCAUUUAUUUAGAACCAAGAACCAAGAGAAAACAUUAUCGUCUACAGAGAGGGCGCUCUAUGUCUUCAGUGUAGACUACAGGAACACUGAGCAGCAUAGAGCGUCCUCUCGCGGCUGGAGACGGUAAUGUUUUAUCUUAGUUCAUUUCUCUUAGUUCAUUUCUCUAGGUUCAUGUCAAAUUAAUUUGGAUAAAUAAGUCGCACCUGACUAUAAGUCGCAGGACCUGCCAAAUUAUGAAAAAAAAGUGCAACUUAUAGUCCGGAAAAUACAGUAAGUAUGGAACAUGAGAGGAGAAAGAGUUACUUGCUAGGGAUGAUGUUAGGAAGUGAUAUUCAGGUUGCUACAUUUUUAAUGAUUACAGUAGUUAAAACAGCUAAACUUCAACAUCUUAGCUGUAAAAUGCCACAUGCAGUAGCUAAUAUUAAGAAAUAUUUUGUG
rnacentral:lncRNA from 1 species